rnacentral:lncRNA from 1 species
ACAAACAAAAACAUUUACAUAUUUCUCAAUGAACAUCAAGGAAUGAAAGGAAUGGGUAACAUCUAACAUGAAGAGAUCCAAAGAGUCAAGACAUUCGUGAAAAUCAUCCAAGCAACCCAAUCAUGGAAAAAUAGUUAAUCAGCUCAAUAAUGAAAAAUGAUUAAGCCUCACAAGAUAUGCCCUCUAUCUCUCAAGUGUCUAGGCUACUGUUUACUCUCGAAGCACCCAUGAAAACAAACACCACAUAGACUUGGCAAAAUUCUAAAAUUGACAAAUGACUUGACAACACAUGCAUAUGAGGAUCAAA